rnacentral:rRNA from 1 species
UACAGAGGGUGCGAGCGUUGUCCGGAAUCACUGGGCGUAAAGGGCGCGUAGGCGGUCUUGUAAGUCGGGGGUGAAAUGCUGCGGCUCAACCGCAGCGCUGCCUUCGAGACUGCAAGACUGGAGCACGGUAGAGGCGGAUGGAAUUCCCGGUGUAGCGGUGGAAUGCGUAGAGAUCGGGAAGAACACCAAUGGCGAAGGCAGUCCGCUGGGCCGUUGCUGACGCUGAUGCGCGAAAGCGUGGGGAGCGAUCCGG